rnacentral:rRNA from 1 species
AACGAACGCUGGCGGCAUGCCUAACACAUGCAAGUCGAACGAGACCUUCGGGUCUAGUGGCGCACGGGUGCGUAACGCGUGGGAACCUGCCCUUAGGUUCGGAAUAACUCCCCGAAAGGGGUGCUAAUACCGGAUAAUGUCUUCGGACCAAAGAUUUAUCGCCUUUGGAUGGGCCCGCGUUGGAUUAGCUAGUUGGUAGGGUAAAAGCCUACCAAGGCGACGAUCCAUAGCUGGUCUGAGAGGAUGAGCAGCCACACUGGGACUGAGACACGGCCCAGACUCCUACGGGAGGCAGCAGUGGGGAAUAUUGGACAAUGGGCGAAAGCAUGAUCGAGCAAUGCCGCGUGAGUGAUGAAGGCCUUAGGGUAGUAAAGCUCUUUUACCCGGGAUGAUAAUGACAGUACCGGGAGAAUAAGCACCGGCUAACUCCGUG